UGAACCUCUUUUCUCACUAACUACUAACUCUAAGGACCUCGCUGGCGGGGCUCCGUAUACAGGCGCAGGUCGAGGCGGGCGCCCUCAGGAAGAAGAUAGCGGCCUACGUGGGAGAAGGAGACGCCGUGGAUCCGAAACUGCUUCAGAUUGCCCUAAAGAAGUGCAGGGAGGACCUGAGUAGCAAGACGCGCCUGCUGCAGGAGAUGGAGAGGCAGUACAGGGAAGUGGUGCCCCGCGCUGACUUUGACCGCCUGCAGCGUCGCCACGCUGCCCUCACCAACACACACAGGCAGCUCUCCACGUGCACGAGCUUCUCAAGGACCAGCACGAGACCAUCGUCAGGUCGCAGGAGGAAAUGCUAGAGGAGAGAGACAGACUUAGUGAAGAGAACCACAGACUGCGACGCUCCGCCACACCGAGGCCAGACUGGAACAGGUGAGGCUCGUCCUUCCCUCAUUGGUGAUGUGGUGCUCCCUUCCUCAGAUCCUGUGUUCCUCAUUCUCCUUCUCCUCUCUGGUCUGUUUCCUGUCUUUGUUUUCUGUUAUUUUAUUUAUUUAUUUAUUUUUUUACUGUGGUUCUUCAGUUUUCCUUCCG